GGACUACUGGGGUUUCUAAUCCUAUUCGCUACCUAAGCCUUCGUCCUUCAACGUCAGUUUUUAGAUAAAAGGUUGCUUUCGCCUUUACCAGUCCCCAUAGUAUCAGUGAAUUUUAUCUCUACUCUAUGAGUUCUCCCUUCUUAAAUAAAACUCUAGCAAUAUUGUACCUUAUUUUAGGCUAAUAAUGCUGUCUAAGUACCCUUUAAACCUAAUAAAGAUGAAUAACACUAGUCUUUUACGUAUUACCGCGGCUGCUGGCAC
rnacentral:rRNA from 1 species